rnacentral:rRNA from 1 species
AAAUGACUCUCGGCAACGGAUAUCCCGGCUCUCGCAUCGAUGAAGAACGUAGCGAAAUGCGAUACUUGGUGUGAAUUGCAGAAUCCCGUGAACCAUUNNGUCUUUGAACGCAAGUUGCGCCCGAAGCCACUAGGCUAAGGGCACGUCUGCCUGGGUGUCACGC